rnacentral:rRNA from 1 species
UACGUAGGGUGCGAGCGUUGUCCGGAAUUAUUGGGCGUAAAAGAGCUCGUAGGCGGUGUGUCACGUCGGCCGUGAAAACCUGCAGCUUAACUGUGGGCGUGCGGUCGAUACGGGCAUCACUGGAGUUCGGCAGGGGAGACUGGAAUUCCUGGUGUAGCGGUGAAAUGCGCAGAUAUCAGGAGGAACACCGGUGGCGAAGGCGGGUCUCUGGGCCGAUACUGACGCUGAGGAGCGAAAGCGUGGGGGAGCAAACAGG